GCAGUGGUGGUUCAAGGGCAGGAUUUUCACCUUCCAAAUGGGAGAUCUGGGUUUGGUUCCCAGCCAAUGCA
rnacentral:tRNA from 1 species